CCUACGGGUGGCAGCAGUGGGGAAUAUUGGGCAAUGGGCGCAAGCCUGACCCAGCAACGCCGCGUGAAUGAAGACGGCCUUCGGGUUGUAAACUUCUUUUGACAGGGACGAGUUUAAGACGGUACCUGUCGAAUAAGUCACGGCUAACUACGUGCCAGCAGCCGCGGUAUAACGUAGGUGGCAAGCUUUGUCCGGAUUUACUGGGGGUAAGGGGCGUGUAGCCGGGUUGACAAGGCAGAAUUGAAACCCUGGGGCUGAACCCCAGAACUGCUUUUGAAACUGUUGGUCUUGAGUAAUGGAGAGGGAGGCGGAAUUCCCAGUGUAGCGGUGAAAUGCGUAGAUAUUAGGAGGAACACCAGUGGCGAAGGCGGUCUGCUGGACAGCAACUGACGGUGAGGCGCGAAAGCGUGGGGAGCAAACAGGAUUAGAUACCCUUGUAGUC
rnacentral:rRNA from 1 species